AGAGUUUGAUCAUGGCUCAGAUUGAACGCUGGCGGCAGGCCUAACACAUGCAAGUCGAGCGGUAGCACAGAGAGCUUGCUCUCGGGUGACGAGCGGCGGACGGGUGAGUAAUGUCUGGGAAACUGCCUGAUGGAGGGGGAUAACUACUGGAAACGGUAGCUAAUACCGCAUAACGUCGCAAGACCAAAGUGGGGGACCUUCGGGCCUCAUGCCAUCAGAUGUGCCCAGAUAGGAUUAGCUAGUAGGUGGGGUAACGGCUCACCUAGGCGACGAUCCCUAGCUGGUCUGAGAGGAUGACCAGCCACACUGGAACUGAGACACGGUCCAGACUCCUACGGGAGGCAGCAGUGGGGAAUAUUGCACAAUGGGCGCAAGCCUGAUGCAGCCAUGCCGCGUGUGUGAAGAAGGCCUUCGGGUUGUAAAGCACUUUCAGCGGGGAGGAAGGCGUUAAGGUUAAUAACCUUGGCGAUUGACGUUACCCGCAGAAGAAGCACCGGCUAACUCCGUGCCAGCAGCCGCGGUAAUACGGAGGGUGCAAGCGUUAAUCGGAAUUACUGGGCGUAAAGCGCACGCAGGCGGUCUGUCAAGUCGGAUGUGAAAUCCCCGGGCUCAACCUGGGAACUGCAUUCGAAACUGGCAGGCUAGAGUCUUGUAGAGGGGGGUAGAAUUCCAGGUGUAGCGGUGAAAUGCGUAGAGAUCUGGAGGAAUACCGGUGGCGAAGGCGGCCCCCUGGACAAAGACUGACGCUCAGGUGCGAAAGCGUGGGGAGCAAACAGGAUUAGAUACCCUGGUAGUCCACGCCGUAAACGAUGUCGAUUUGGAGGUUGUGCCCUUGAGGCGUGGCUUCCGGAGCUAACGCGUUAAAUCGACCGCCUGGGGAGUACGGCCGCAAGGUUAAAACUCAAAUGAAUUGACGGGGGCCCGCACAAGCGGUGGAGCAUGUGGUUUAAUUCGAUGCAACGCGAAGAACCUUACCUGGUCUUGACAUCCACAGAACUUUCCAGAGAUGGAUUGGUGCCUUCGGGAACUGUGAGACAGGUGCUGCAUGGCUGUCGUCAGCUCGUGUUGUGAAAUGUUGGGUUAAGUCCCGCAACGAGCGCAACCCUUAUCCUUUGUUGCCAGCGGUNGGCCGGGAACUCAAAGGAGACUGCCAGUGAUAAACUGGAGGAAGGUGGGGAUGACGUCAAGUCAUCAUGGCCCUUACGACCAGGGCUACACACGUGCUACAAUGGCAUAUACAAAGAGAAGCGACCUCGCGAGAGCAAGCGGACCUCAUAAAGUAUGUCGUAGUCCGGAUUGGAGUCUGCAACUCGACUCCAUGAAGUCGGAAUCGCUAGUAAUCGUAGAUCAGAAUGCUACGGUGAAUACGUUCCCGGGCCUUGUACACACCGCCCGUCACACCAUGGGAGUGGGUUGCAAAAGAAGUAGGUAGCUUAACCUUCGGGAGGGCGCUUACCACUUUGUGAUUCAUGACUGGGGUGAAGUCGUAACAAGGUAACCGUAGGGGAACCUGCGGUUGGAUCACCU
rnacentral:rRNA from 1 species